rnacentral:rRNA from 1 species
UACGGAGGGGGCUAGCGUUGUUCGGAAUUACUGGGCGUAAAGCGCACGUAGGCGGCUUUUUAAGUUAGAGGUGAAAGCCCGGGGCUCAACCCCGGAACUGCCUUUAAGACUGCAUCGCUUGAAUCCAGGAGAGGUGAGUGGAAUUCCGAGUGUAGAGGUGAAAUUCGUAGAUAUUCGGAAGAACACCAGUGGCGAAGGCGGCUCACUGGCCUGGUAUUGACGCUGAGGUGCGAAAGCGUGGGGAGCAAACAGG